rnacentral:rRNA from 1 species
GAGCGGUAGAGAGAAGCUUGCUUCUCUUGAGAGCGGCGGACGGGUGAGUAAUACCUAGGAAUCUGCCUGAUAGUGGGGGAUAACGUUCGGAAACGGACGCUAAUACCGCAUACGUCCUACGGGAGAAAGCAGGGGACCUUCGGGCCUUGCGCUAUCAGAUGAGCCUAGGUCGGAUUAGCUAGUUGGUGAGGUAAUGGCUCACCAAGGCUACGAUCCGUAACUGGUCUGAGAGGAUGAUCAGUCACACUGGAACUGAGACACGGUCCAGACUCCUACGGGAGGCAGCAGUGGGGAAUAUUGGACAAUGGGCGAAAGCCUGAUCCAGCCAUGCCGCGUGUGUGAAGAAGGUCUUCGGAUUGUAAAGCACUUUAAGUUGGGAGGAAGGGCAUUAACCUAAUACGUUGGUGUCUUGACGUUACCGACAGAAUAAGCACCGGCUAACUCUGUGCCAGCAGCCGCGGUAAUACAGAGGGUGCAAGCGUUAAUCGGAAUUACUGGGCGUAAAGCGCGCGUAGGUGGUUUGUUAAGUUGAAUGUGAAAUCCCCGGGCUCAACCUGGGAACUGCAUCCAAAACUGGCAAGCUAGAGUAUGGUAGAGGGUAGUGGAAUUUCCUGUGUAGCGGUGAAAUGCGUAGAUAUAGGAAGGAACACCAGUGGCGAAGGCGACUACCUGGACUGAUACUGACACUGAGGUGCGAAAGCGUGGGGAGCAAACAGGAUUAGAUACCCUGGUAGUCCACGCCGUAAACGAUGUCAACUAGCCGUUGGGAGUCUUGAACUCUUAGUGGCGCAGCUAACGCAUUAAGUUGACCGCCUGGGGAGUACGGCCGCAAGGUUAAAACUCAAAUGAAU